rnacentral:rRNA from 1 species
AUCUCACGGCUUAACUGUGAGCGUGCGGGCGAUACGGGCAGACUUGAGUACUGCAGGGGAGACUGGAAUUCCUGGUGUAGCGGUGGAAUGCGCAGAUAUCAGGAGGAACACCGGUGGCGAAGGCGGGUCUCUGGGCAGUAACUGACGCUGAGGAGCGAAAGCGUGGGGAGCGAACAGGAUUAGAUACCCUGGUAGUCCACGCCGUAAACGGUGGGUACUAAGUGUGGGUUUCCUUCCUUGGGAUCCGUGCCGUAGCUAACGCAUUAAGUACCCUGCCUGGGGAGUACGGCCGCAAGGCUAAAACUCAAAGAAAUUGACGGGGGCCCGCACAAGCGGCGGAGCAUGUGGAUUAAUUCGAUGCAACGCGAAGAACCUUACCUGGGUUUGACAUGCACAGGACGCCGGCAGAGAUGUCGGUUCCCUUGUGGCCUGUGUGCAGGUGGUGCAUGGCUGUCGUCAGCUCGUGUCGUGAGAUGUUGGGUUAAGUCCCGCAACGAGCGCAACCCUUGUCUCAUGUUGCCAGCGGGUAAUGCCGGGGACUCGUGAGAGACUGCCGGGGUCAACUCGGAGGAAGGUGGGGAUGACGUCAAGUCAUCAUGCCCCUUAUGUCCAGGGCUUCACACAUGCUACAAUGGCCGGUACAAAGGGCUGCGAUGCCGCGAGGUUAAGCGAAUCCUUUUAAAGCCGGUCUCAGUUCGGAUCGGGGUCUGCAACUCGACCCCGUGAAGUCGGAGUCGCUAGUAAUCGCAGA